CUACGGGCUGCUGCAGUGAGGAAUAUUGGUCAAUGGCCGAGAGGCUGAACCAGCCAUCCCGCGUGCAGGAUGACGGCCCUAUGGGUUGUAAACUGCUUUUCUACGCCAAGAAAUCUGAUUACGAGUAGUUAGUUGACGGUAGCGUAGGAAUAAGCAUCGGCUAACUCCGUGCCAGCAGCCGCGGUAAUACGGAGGAUGCAAGCGUUAUCCGGAUUCAUUGGGUUUAAAGGGUGCGCAGGCGGGCUUGUAAGUCAGUGGUGAAAUACUGCCGCUUAACGGUAGAACUGCCAUUGAUACUGCAAGUCUUGAAUAUGGUUGAGGUAGGCGGAAUGUGUUGUGUAGCGGUGAAAUGCAUAGAUAUGACACAGAACGCCGAUUGCGAAGGCAGCUUACUAAGCCAUUAUUGACGCUGAGGCACGAAAGCGUGGGGAGCGAACAGGAUUAGAUACCCGUGUAGUC
rnacentral:rRNA from 1 species